CAGCAGAAGCAGCUGGGCCAGAUAAAGACCACUGGGGUUUGAAUAUUUAGGAAUCUCCUCCACAGAACGCUGAGACGGGGACUAGAUUGCUACACCAACGGCAGAAGUGCUGUAAUCUCAUCAGAAAAUGCUGCUUCCGGUGGCAUUUUGGACCCAGGAACAGAAGCAAAAGCAUCUGGAAUCACUGGAGAAAGCCCCAGGUCUCCUGAGAGCCGACGGCGACUUUUUGCUGGCUGGGAGCACGCAUCAGUGACCAGGCAGCUAGCGCGGCAGAUGUUGCGGGGGCUGGGGGAGGGGAGGCAGAUACCUGAGACUCCGCAGCCGCGUUUCCUACCCUUCCCUCCGCCUCCCUUUCUCAGAUCACCGUAUGAAAACAGCGCUGCUCCCCACCUGCCUGAGGUCACACAGCCCGACGCAGGCACGGGUGCAGGCAAUCCAAGCCAGCCAGCGCCAGGCCCUGCCUCCCAGGCUGUUUCAUUAAUCCGCUGACAUUACCCAAAUACUGCGGCAGACUGCGAUACCGUAAAAAAAAUCACCACCAGCUAAUAGACACCAGGCAGAUAGCCUACGCCAGCCGUGGUUUUGUGUGCUAUUUCAGCCCAGCGUGUAUUUUUCCCCACCCUCCCGGAUGAAAAUACAGUAAUUAACUCCAUGCAGUGGGGGGAUGGGGGAGGGAAUUCUUUUUUUUUUUUUCCUCCCUCGACUUGAAAAGAAAUUCUGGCAGAUAAUUUGGCUGAACAUGAAAAGGGAGAGGCUGCUUACAGCCAUCCGAAUAAAGUGCUAGGUUGGUGAAGCUCCA